GUCCACUGAACCUUAUCAUUUAGAGGAAGGAGAAGUCGUAACAAGGUUUCCGUAGGUGAACCUGCGGAAGGAUCAUUGUCGAGACCCGCACGGCAGACCCGCGAACUCGUUCCACAGCUCACCCGGGAGGACGACGCCCCGCGUCGGAGACCCGUCCCGUCGGCGCGCCCCCGCGCGCGUCGCACGGCCCAACGAACCCCGGCGCGAAAAGCGUCAAGGAACACUCAACACACGCCGCCCGCCCCGGGACGCCCCGUCCGCGGUGCUCUCCCGGGGAUCGGGCGCGCGUCGAAUUCGAAACGACUCUCGGCAACGGAUAUCUUGGCUCUCGCAUCGAUGAAGAACGCAGCAAAAUGCGAUACUUGGUGUGAAUUGCAGAAUCCCGUGAACCAUCGAGUUUUUGAACGCAAGUUGCGCCCGAGGCCUUCACGCCGAGGGCACGUCUGCCUGGGCGUCACGCGCAGCGYCGCCCCCCACCCCCGCGCGGGGUGGCGGGCCGGAGAUUGGCCUCCCGUGCGAAUCCGCGCGCGGCCGGCCCAAAUGCGAUUCGGCAUCGACGCGUGCCGCGACGAUUGGUUGUUGAAGACCUCAACUCGCGCGUCGUCGUGCGGGAACGCGCCGUUCGCCCCGAAUGCUUCGACCCCCCCGGGUGCUCCGCACCUCCGAAGCGACCCCAGGUCAGGCGGGAUCACCCGCUGAGUUUAAGCAUAUCAAUAAGCGGAGGA
rnacentral:rRNA from 1 species